rnacentral:ribozyme from 1 species
UGCCCAGCAACUCCUAUCCCUACCUCCUCGUGGUACAGGCCGGGGUACGAGUAACCUCAGGAAAGAUCGAGUAACCAACCCGAUGGG